GACGAACCACACAAACGUUAUUCGGAAUCACUGGGCUUAAAGGGUGCGUAGGCUGCGCGGAAAGUUGGGUGUGAAAUACCUCGGCUCAACCGAGGAACUGCGCUCAAAACUACCGUGCUUGAGGGAGACAGAGGUGAGCGGAACUUAGGGUGGAGCGGUGAAAUGCGUUGAUAUCCUAAGGAACACCCGUGGCGAAAGCGGCUCACUGGGUCUCUUCUGACGCUGAGGCACGAAAGCUAGGGUAGCGAACGGG
rnacentral:rRNA from 1 species